GAAAACAGUGUGGGGCAAAGAACAGGACUAGGCUUUGAAACCCACAGUGGGUGUUGGCAAAAGUCACCUUUGUUUCAGCUUCAGUUGGAAUUUAAGCACCUACUUUUGAUUUUUAUUUUAGAGAAAAAAUUUAAAUUUAUUCUUAAAAGUAAAAUAUACUCUUUUGACAUACAAUUCUAAGAAUUUUCACAAGCCAGAAUCAUGUUAUUACCACCACAAUAAAGGCACAGAACAGUUUCUUCCUCAGUCCGUCCCAAAAUUAUCUGGGGCUGCGACCCCUUUGGAAUCAAAGCCUCCCUGAGUCCUUAACCUCUGGUAACCAUGAAUCUAUUCUCCAUCACUAUAAUUUUACCUUUUCCAGAAUGCUAUAAGUGGAGUCAUACAAUAUUUAGCCUUUGAGUCUGGCUUCUUUCUCUUAGCAGAAAGCAUAUGAGAUCUCUGUUGUGUUUACCAGAGGCUCAUCCCUUUUUAUUGCUGAGUAGUAUUCCAUCAUGUGGAUGUACUACUGUUUGUUUAUCCAUUUUUCAGUUGGGUUGUUUCUGAUUAUGAAUAAAGGUGCUAUAAACA
rnacentral:lncRNA from 1 species